rnacentral:rRNA from 1 species
UAGGGAAUAUUAGUAAUGGGCGAAAGCCUGAACUAGCAACGCCGCGUGUGGGAAGAAGGCCUUCGGGUUGUAAAGCACUUUUUGAGAGGAUGAGGAAGGACGGUACUCUCAGAAUAAGUCUCGGCUAACUACGUGCCAGCAGCCGCGGUAACACGUAGGAGGCGAACGUUAUCCGGAUUUACUGGGCGUAAAGCGCGUGUAGGUGGUUUGGUAAGUAGGGCGUGAAAGCUCCUGGCUCAACUGGGAGAGGCCGUUCUAAACUGCCGAACUAGAGGAUGGUAGAGGGAAGUGGAAUUCCGGGUGUAGCGGUGGAAUGCGCAGAUAUCCGGAGGAAUACCAGUGGCGAAAGCGGCCUCCUGGACCAUUCCUGACACUCAGACGCGAAAGCUAGGGUAGCAAACGG